rnacentral:rRNA from 1 species
AUUGAACGCUGGCGGCAGGCCUAACACAUGCAAGUCGAGCGGAUGAAGGGAGCUUGCUCCUGGAUUCAGCGGCGGACGGGUGAGUAAUGCCUAGGAAUCUGCCUGGUAGUGGGGGAUAACGUCCGGAAACGGGCGCUAAUACCGCAUACGUCCUGAGGGAGAAAGUGGGGGAUCUUCGGACCUCACGCUAUCAGAUGAGCCUAGGUCGGAUUAGCUAGUUGGUGGGGUAAAGGCCUACCAAGGCGACGAUCCGUAACUGGUCUGAGAGGAUGAUCAGUCACACUGGAACUGAGACACGGUCCAGACUCCUACGGGGGGCAGCAGUGGGGAAUAUUGGACGAUGGGCGAAAGCCUGAUCCAGCCAUACCGCGUGUGUGAAGAAGGUCUUCGGAUUGUAAAGCACUUUAAGUUGGGAGGAAGGGCAGUAAGUUAAUACCUUGCUGUUUUGACGUUACCAACAGAAUAAGCACCGGCUAACUUCGUG